rnacentral:ncRNA from 1 species
AUCCUGCCGCUUUGGGAGAAAGGCUAGCUCUGAAGGUUGAUCCAGUCAGGUCGAUAGUGAAAGGAUUUAUGACAUUUUGUGGUUGGUGUGUGGACUUCGUAUCUGUCCGGUUGAUGACCAAAGUUGUGUUGAUUGCCAUUGCUAGGCCUUUCGGUUUGUUCUGAUAUAGUUGGAAAUCAUCAACUUUGCAAUUGAUACGAACUACCUAAAACAAAGCAUUGUAAAGUCCAAUAAUUGGUGAUAACAUAAUGUGAUUUCUGCCCAGUGUUCUAAACGCCAAAGUGAAGAGAUUCUUUGAAGUACGUGGAAACGGCUUGAGCGUCUGUUUAUUAUUCAAGUCGUCA